GUUUUAUUGAUUACUCGAAGACAAAUGAUCCAAAAACUUUCAAAUUUUUUAAAUAAUUCGACAUACACAAUCUGAUUACACACAAAGCACUGGAUUUUGCCCACUACCUCGAAUAAAUUUAAGUUAUUGAAGGAUUGUUUUUAAUUGAUAAAAUUACUUAAAGUUCUCUUAAAAUUAUUAUUGACCUAAAAGGAAAAAAAUGUUGUCAUUUAGUACUUAAAAAUAAUGAAAAAGCGUAAAGUCAAUAUUUUCUAUGCCUUCCAUCAUAUCAAUUAAUAAUAAUUUUAAAGCGCACCAAGCAAAAGGAUUUCGCUGUAAUGUAACAUAAUGGAAAUCAGAAACAUCAGAACAAAGAUGUCUUACAAAUAAUUAAAGCAUCAGCAUUUCUCGCAAAUUAGUAACAACUGAGACAGCAAUUUUCCGAAACGUAUCACCAAGGGACAAUGCGGGGUAUUGAAAUAAGUGCAUGAAGGCGGUUGGAGAUGGAUGGCGACGCCACGUCAAUAGCAAUUAACUUGACGACAGGAAAAUGAGCGUCACACUAAAUGAUACUGUAAUGGCUGUAUACUUACAGGAUGCGUCAUUUAAAUUGCGAAUAAAAUAAAAUGUGUUUAUAUUA